UCUGGCAGAAAACAUAAACCGUACAAUUUUAAAAUAAAGGAAUUGAUAAUGCUAUGGCUCUAUAUAUUAUGGCUAAAUAUUUGCUGAUUUAUCUAUAAUUUUGUUAUAGUUUUUUCCAAUUAUUUUUUAAAUCCCUUGAAAAAAAUGUCCUCCUUAAUGCACUAAUAAGAUAAAAUUUCCAUUCAUAAAAGGUGUUACACUUGAUUCAUUGGAGUAAGUUUACUUCCCAAAAAGUUGUGUAGACAAAAAAAUAAUAAUAGAAAAAAACAUAAAUCAUAGUAAAAUCAAUUGAAUACAAACCAAACUCUAUAUCUAAAAAUAAAAAUAGACACAUAUAGUAAAACCAACACUUUUCCCAAACUAAUCUUAUCAACAGUGAUGUUUGACAGAUUUCCAGCACCUUGGCAUGAAAAUUGUAAAGUCCAUAAUAGUAUAUUAAUUUACAAGAUAUUUUUUUUUUAAAUUUAA